rnacentral:rRNA from 1 species
UACAGAGGGUGCGAGCGUUAAUCGGGAUUACUGGGCGUAAAGCGUGCGUAGACGGUAGCGUAAGUCGGGUGUGAAAGCCCCGGGCUCAACCUGGGAAUUGCAUUCGAGACUGCUCUGCUAGGGUGCGGAAGAGGGAAGCGGAAUUUCCGGUGUAGCGGUGAAAUGCGUAGAUAUCGGAAGGAACACCAGUGGCGAAAGCGGCUUCCUGGUCCAGCACCGACGUUCAGGCACGAAAGCGUGGGGAGCAAACAGG